rnacentral:rRNA from 1 species
CCUGGUUCAUCCUACCAGGAGUCAUAUGCUGGUCUCAAAGAUUAAGCCAUGCAUGUCUAAGUAUGAACUAAUUCAGACUGUGAAACUGCAGAUUGCUCAUUAAAUUAGUUAUUGUUUUUUUUAUGGUACCAUACUACUCGGAUAACCGUAGUAAUUCUAGAGCUAAUACAUGCACCAAGUCCCGACUCUUUGGAAGGGAUGCAUUUUUUAGAUAAAAGGCUGGUGCGGGCUUGCCCGCUUCUCUAGUGAAUCAUGAUAACUCGACAGAUCACACAACCCUUGUGCUGGCAAUGCUUCAUUCAAAUUUCUGCCCUAUCAAAUUUCGAUGGUAGGAUAGAGGCCUACCAUGGUGGUGAUGGGUGACAGAGAAUUAGGGUUCGAUUUUGGAGAGGGAACCUGAGAAAUGGGUACCACAUCCAAGGAAGGCAGCAGACGUGAAAAUUACCCAAUCCUAACAUGGGGAGGUAGUGACAAUAAAUAACAAUACUGGGUUCAUCGAGUCUGGUAAUUGGAAUGAGUACAAUCUAAAUCCCUUAACGAGGAUCUAUUGGAGGGCAAGUCUGGUGCCAACAACCAUGGUAAUUCCAGCUCCAAUAGCAUAUAUUUAAGUUGUUGCAGUUAAAAAGCUCGUAGUUGGAUCUUGGGUAGUAAAGGUCGUUCCGCCUACUCGGUGUGCACCUGCCCUUCCAUCCCUCUUGUUGUCGGUGUGCUCUUGGCCUUAAUUGGCUGGGUCAAAGCUCCGACACUGUUACUUUGAAAAAUUAGAGUGCUCAAAGAAAGCUUAUGCUCUGAAUACAUUAGCAUGGAAUAACGUGAUAGGAGUUUGGUCCUAUUGUGUUGGCCUUCGGGACUGGAGUAAUGAUUAAUAGGGACUAUCAGGGGCAUUUGUAUUUCAUUGUCAAAGGUGAAAUUCUUGGAUUUAUGAAAGACGGACCAUUGUGAAAGCAUUUUCCAAGGAUGUUUUCAUUAAUCAAUAAUGAAAGUUGGGGGCUCGAAGACGAUCAAAUACGAUCCUAGUCUCAACCAUAAACGAUGCUGACCAGGGAUUGGCAGAUGUUGUUCUAAGGACUCCGCCAACACCUUUUAAGAAAUCAGAGUGUUUGGGUUCCGGGGGGAGUAUGGUCGCAAGGCUGAAACUUAAAGGAAUUGACAAAAGGGUAACACCAGGAGUGGAGCCUGUAGCUUAAUUUGACUCAACACGGGGAAACUUACCAGGUCCAUACAUAGUAAGGAUUGAUAGAUUGAGAGGUCUUUCUUGAUUCUAUAGGUGGUGGUGCAUGGUCAUUCUUAGUUGGUGGAGUGAUUUGUCUGGUUAAUUCCGAUAACGAACGAGACCUCAGCGUGCUAACUAGCUACACGAAGGUUCCCCUUCCCAGCCAGCUUCUUAGAGGGACUAUGGCCAUUUAGGCCAUGGAAAUUUGAGGCAAUAAUAGGUCUGUGAUGCCCUUAGAUGUUCUAGGCCUCACGCGCACUACACUGAUGCAGCCAACGAGUUUUUCUUCCUAGUUCGAGAGGAUCCAGAAAUAUUCUCAAAUUGCAUCAUGAUGGGAAUAGACCAUUGCAAUUAUUGGUCUUCAACGAGGAAUUCCUAGUAAGCGUGUGUCAUCAACUCGUGUUGACUAUGUCCCUACCCUCUGUACACAUCGCCCGCCGCUCCUACCGAUUGAAUGAUCCGAUGAAGUGUUCGGAUUGCGUCGACGAUGGUGGUUCACCACUGUUGAUGUCGUGAGAAGUUCAUUGAACCUUAUCAUUUAGAGGAAGGAGAAGUCGUAACAAGGUUACCGUAGGUGAACCUAUGGUAG